GCUGGGGUAGCUCAGUUGGUAGAGAAUGAGACUUGCAAUCUCAGGGUUGUGGGUUCAAGCCCUACAAUGGGCA